rnacentral:rRNA from 1 species
GAUGAACGCUGGCGGCGUGCCUAAUACAUGCAAGUCGAGCGAACGGACGAGAAGCUUGCUUCUCUGAUGUUAGCGGCGGACGGGUGAGUAACACGUGGAUAACCUACCUAUAAGACUGGGAUAACUUCGGGAAACCGGAGCUAAUACCGGAUAAUAUUUUGAACCGCAUGGUUCAAAAGUGAAAGACGGUCUUGCUGUCACUUAUAGAUGGAUCCGCGCUGCAUUAGCUAGUUGGUAAGGUAACGGCUUACCAAGGCAACGAUGCAUAGCCGACCUGAGAGGGUGAUCGGCCACACUGGAACUGAGACACGGUCCAGACUCCUACGGGAGGCAGCAGUAGGGAAUCUUCCGCAAUGGGCGAAAGCCUGACGGAGCAACGUCGCGUGAGUGAUGAAGGUCUUCGGAUCGUAAAACUCUGUUAUUAGGGAAGAACAUAUGUGUAAGUAACUGUGAACAUCUUGACGGUACCUAAUCAGAAAGCCACGGCUAACUACGUG